CCACCCUUUAAAGAAAGCGUAAUAGCUCACUGGUCGAGUCGGCCUGCGCGGAAGAUAUAACGGGGCUAAACUGAUAACCGAAGCUGUGGAUGCGCAUUUAUGCGCAUGGUAGAGGAGCGUUCUGUAAGCCGUUGAAGGUGAAUCGUAAGGUUUGCUGGAGGUAUCAGAAGUGCGAAUGCUGACGUGAGUAACGACAAUGCGAGUGAAAAACUCGCACGCUGAAAGACCAAGGGUUCCAGUCCAACGUUAAUCGGGGCUGGGUGAGUCGACCCCUAAGGCGAGGCCGAGAGGCGUAGUCGAUGGGAAAUUGGUUAAUAUUCCAAUACUUCUGUGUAAUGCGAUGAGAGGACGGAGAAGGUUAAGUCAGCCUGGCGUUGGUUGUCCAGGUGGAAGGUUGUAGGCAUGUAUCUUAGGCAAAUCCGGGGUACUGUAUGCUGAGAACUGAUAGCAAGCUGUACUUGUACAGUGAAGUGGCUGAUACCAUGCUUCCAGGAAAAGUCUCUAAGCUUCAGUUACACAGGAAUCGUACCCGAAACCGACACAGGUGGUCAGGUCGAGUAGACCAAAGCGCUUGAGAGAACUCUGCUGAAGGAACUAGGCAAAAUGGUACCGUAACUUCGG
rnacentral:rRNA from 1 species